rnacentral:lncRNA from 1 species
AUUUUUAUUAAUUUCUAAUUUAUUACUUCUGUGUUUCUUUUUACAGGACAAGUACUGGCGUACGUGUGUGUGCAUGCAUGUGUAUUUCCUCUGUGUGUGUGCCAUCAUGUACUGCUUACUGAUGAGAAUGUGUUGAGAAACAUGUCAUUAGAUGGUUUCUUCUUUGUGCACUUAGUGUCUGCACUGAAACUAAGACAGCAACAACAUCACUGGGAAAUACAAUCUCACGAUACUGCUGCCGUUCAUGUGAUCUGUCACCGGUUAAGAUGUUGUUAUGUGGCACAUAGAGGGCCUGGGAAUAGGUUAAGGUCUGACCCCUGUGACUGCUUCUGAGAGCCAGCAAUGACACUGUGGUGUCCUACAUGGUGUGGAUUCCACUUCCACUUAUACUUACUAAUGGAGAAUUAAUUAUAGUCCAACAUGAAAUAAUACAGGGCAACCAUCAUCUCGGCCAAGCAGCAUAAAACACACCUCAUUCCUACUCCAGAUGGUUGUCAAUAAAAAGUGACAUUUAAAACUGCUGACUAAAUUCAAGUCUGUGAAAUGCUUUCUUCCAGAAAUUCAUUUUGCAAGUCUGUUUUGUUCUGAUGCCUGUAAGUACAUUAAUCUCACAUGAACUAGAAUAUCUACAAUGGUUGUACAUUUUCCUAAAAGCUUUUCCAAGAGAGACCUAACCACUUCUACUGAAACAAAUGAAAACCUUUUUGAUUCAAGGGAACUGAAAUAAAUGAAUCUAUUUUCUCCAAGACACGACAGCUUUGCACUUGUAACCUGUCUUCUCUGGGUUUUCAGCGCUGGCCUCAAGGUGAAAUCUUCAUGAACAGAUGGGGCUUCUCAUGGCUCCUGUGGAGGGAGAUAGAAACACCUCUAAGAUAACACUAAUGUAUG